rnacentral:rRNA from 1 species
AACGAACGCUGGCGGCAUGCCUAACACAUGCAAGUCGAACGAGACCUUCGGGUCUAGUGGCGCACGGGUGCGUAACGCGUGGGAAUCUGCCCUUGGGUGCGGAAUAACAGUUAGAAAUGACUGCUAAUACCGCAUAAUGACUCCGGUCCAAAGAUUUAUCGCCCAAGGAUGAGCCCGCGUAGGAUUAGCUAGUUGGUGAGGUAAAAGCUCACCAAGGCGACGAUCCUUAGCUGGUCUGAGAGGAUGAUCAGCCACACUGGGACUGAGACACGGCCCAGACUCCUACGGGAGGCAGCAGUGGGGAAUAUUGGACAAUGGGCGAAAGCCUGAUCCAGCAAUGCCGCGUGAGUGAUGAAGGCCUUAGGGUUGUAAAGCCCUUUUACCCGGGAUGAUAAUGACAGUACCGGGAGAAUAAGCUCCGGCUAACUCCGUGCCAGCCGCCGCCGUAAAAC